rnacentral:rRNA from 1 species
CCUACGGGCGGCUGCAGUCGAGAAUCAUUCACAAUGGGGGAAACCCUGAUGGUGCGACGCCGCGUGGGGGAAUGAAGGUCUUCGGAUUGUAAACCCCUGUCAUGUGGGAGCAAAUUAAAAAGAUAGUACCACAAGAGGAAGAGACGGCUAACUCUGUGCCAGCAGCCGCGGUAAUACAGAGGUCUCAAGCGUUGUUCGGAAUCACUGGGCGUAACGCGUGCGUAGGCUGUUUCGUAAGUCGUGUGUGAAAGGCGCGGGCUCAACCCGCGGACGGCACAUGAUACUGCGAGACUAGAGUAAUGGAGGGGUAACCGGAAUUCUCGGUGGAGCAGUGAAAUGCGUAGAUAUCGAGAGGAACACUCGUGGCGAAGGCGGGUUCCUGGACAUUAACUGACGCUGAGGCACGAAGGCCAGGGGAGCGAAAGGGAUUAGAUACCCUUGUAGUC